AUGGUUUUGUUGUAUGUGAUGGACUGCAACAUAAUAGUGUGGCUUCCCGUACAAAACUAUCCAAAUAUGGUUCAAAUCAUGUCUCUGAUCCUACCUUCUUCAGAUCCAUUGUGGGUGGACUGCAACAUGCUAGUGUCACUAGACCUCAAAUCUCUUACUAGUGAACAAAGUGUGUCAAUUCCUUUCCUCACCCCUUGA